ACCCCAAAGUAUCUUUUUAAGGGAAGGUUUUUUUAAUAACCUUGACCAGUUUGGGCUAUUUGGGAGAAUAAAAGACCACACUCCACAGUGGGCUGUAGCACUUCCAUAGCUCACUACUAUUUGGUGGCCUACAUU